rnacentral:rRNA from 1 species
GACGAACGCUGGCGGCGUGCCUAAUACAUGCAAGUAGAACGCUGAAGGAGGAGCUUGCUCGUCUGGAUGAGUUGCGAACGGGUGAGUAACGCGUAGGUAACCUGCCUGGUAGCGGGGGAUAACUAUUGGAAACGAUAGCUAAUACCGCAUAACAGUAGAUGUUGCAUGACAUUUGCUUAAAAGGUGCAAUUGCACCACUACCAGAUGGACCUGCGUUGUAUUAGCUAGUUGGUGGGGUAAAGGCUCACCAAGGGCACGAUACAUAGCCGACCCGAGAGGGUGAUCGGCCACACUGGGACGUGGGACCGGCCCCGAACCCUUCGGGGGGGAGCCGUAGGGAAUCUUUGGCAAUGGAGGGAAGGCUGAACGAAGCACGCCGCGUGAGUGAAGGAGGUUUUCGGGUCGUAAAGCUCUGUUGUAAGGGAAGAACGAGUGUGAGUGUGGAAAGUGCACACUGUGACGGUAUCUUGCCAGAAAGGGACGGCUAACUACGUG